AAAAAAAAAAAAAAAAAAGAGGCCCCAAGCACUAAACUAAUUUCCCAAAUUGUCUGCACAAACCUACUUAUCGCCAAAACAAGCUUAGGUCAAACAUUGAAGAGCUUUUACACACCAUAAAGGACCAGAUGGUUCAAUGAGUGACCAUGAUGCAUAUAAAGAUAGCAUCCAUUUGCCAAACACAGCAUCAAGUAAACGAUUUAGUUUUAUGGAUAGACAUUUGAUAUGGUAUUAUAUCUUAGUUUUAUGGAUAGACAUUUGAUAUGGUAUUAUAUC
rnacentral:misc_RNA from 1 species